UCUCCUCUCUUUAAUUCUCUUUUUUUAUUUAUGGAUAGAGGAAACCCACCGUGAAAGGUGCUGCCAUAACCACAAAUGGUGGUCGAAACUCACACAAGGCUCUCAAAACAAGCAUUCGGUCCCCCAUAGUUAGAAAUCAAACCAUGUUUUCUCUAAAACUAAACAUAAAACCCUAGAUAUAGGAAAAUCAUAUAAGGUUUUACCUGUUCUCCGGUGACCCUUAGCUUCCCGACGAGAUUCUGAACCUAAAAAUUUCUCAUUUUUUAUGGCCGCAUGUGUGAUUUCUCUCUACUAUUGUGCUGCCGAAAAAGACAAGGGUGGACAACGACGACGUUGUGGCAGAAGUGAGGAUUAGGGUGAAACCCUAUUAUCACAUCUUAUUUGGGUUGUUGGAUCAAGCAUAGAUACAACAAUUAAGAUCAUCUGGUGGCUGGGAGUAUGACAAAACCCUAGGGCCUCGUUUGGUUCACGGAUUUUUUCAUUCAUGGGAGGAAUAUUUUUUUCGGGUUAAGAUACCCACGUUUGGAUGUGUCACAUUACCAAGUGAGGGUAAAAAUUAAAUACCAACAAUGGUUUUUUUGUUCUGUUUUACUGGGAAUCCAAAUACCACAUCUCCCUUAGGUAUUUGUUUAUUCCCGUCCUCUGUUUGCUAAAAUACCCUUCUCCCCGUUAGCUUGGUUCUGGCUGAAACAAAAUUUCUUCUUCUUCGAUUUGACGAGAGUUGUUGCGAAGAGCUGUCCAUUACUGCUCCAACGGACUUCUUCUUCUGUGGUGCUCUAGCUCUAGCUCUAUAUGUUAAUCUGUUGCUAGAUUGUUUCGAAGAGCAAUAUGUCAACAUCAAAUAUGGAAUCUCAAAGGAGGGAAUAACGGACAACUGGAAAGGUUAAGUCUAUAGUUACUAAAAGGACGUGGACUAAACAUAAGGAUGCUGCACUUGUUGAAUGCUUACACAUUUUGGCAGAAGACCCACAUUGGAAAGUUGAUAAUGGAACAUUUAUAUCAGAAAUAUUGAAUAUUGGAAGUGGAUUCGGUUGGAAUGAAGAAGAAAAAUGUUUAACUGCACCAAAGGAUGCGUUUGAUGAUUAGGUUAGAAGUCAUCCAACUGCUGCUGGAUUGAGAAACAAGUAAUUCCAUUCUUUGACGACUUUGUUCAAAUAUUUGGAAAAGAAAGAGCAAUAAGAACAACAGCUGAUGGAGUGGAACAUCUUGAUGUUGAAGACAAUACAUUUAUAGAUGCAUUUGUUGAAGAAGGGGGAGUAAGAGAUUCUGAAUAAAGAGAGGAUGUUGGUCUUCAACUUGCCAAAUAUCUGAUGCUACUGCCUCUACCCCUGUAAUGAAAAAAGUAGCUAGCAAGAAAAGGUCUCGAAGUGAUGAUGGGUUAACAAAGCUUCUACAAGAGAUAAGUAAGUUUGGUGCUGCAUACCGAGAAACUGCCAAAGAAAUUAAGGAUAUUACUGCUUUAUUGAAAAAGGAGGCAGAAGGAAAUGAUCGAAGAAUGUCAAUUUUCAUAGAAAUCAUGAAAAUUGAAGGCCUCUCCAAUGAUGAAAUGCUUACUGUAGGAGAGUAUAUUAGCAAAGAUGUGCACAAGGUAGAUUUCUUCUUUUCUUUGCCAAACGAAUUCAAAAAAGAUUAUGUGAUUAAGCAAUUAGUUGAAUGCCAUCACUUCAGACCAUCCUUUUAA